rnacentral:rRNA from 1 species
CCUACGGGUGGCAGCAGUGGGGAAUAUUGCACAAUGGGGGAAACCCUGAUGCAGCGACGCCGCGUGAGUGAAGAAGUAAUUCGUUAUGUAAAGCUCUAUCAGCAGGGCAGAAAAUGACGGUACCUGAGUAAGAAGCCCCGGAUAACUACGUGCCAGCAGACGCGGUAAUACGUAGGGGGGAAGCGUUAUCCGGAUUUACUGGGUGGUACGGGAGCGUAGACGGCAGUGCAAGUCUGGAGUGAAAGGAGGGGGCUCAACCCCCGGACGGCUAGGGAAACUGUAAGGCUGGAGUGCAGGAGAGGGAAGUGGAAUUACUAGUGGAGCGGUGAAAUGCGUAGAUAUUA